rnacentral:rRNA from 1 species
CUACGGGGGGCUCCAGUGGGGAAUCUUAGACAAUGGGCGCAAGCCUGAUCUAGCCAUGCCGCGUGAGUGACGAAGGCCUUAGGGUCGUAAAGCUCUUUCGCUGGGGAAGAUAAUGACGGUACCCAGUAAAGAAACCCCGGCUAACUCCGUGCCAGCAGCCGCGGUAAUACGGAGGGGGUUAGCGUGGUUCGGAAUUACUGGGCGUAAAGCGCGCGUAGGCGGAUCAGAAAGUUGGGGGUGAAAUCCCGGGGCUCAACCCCGGAACUGCCCUCAAAACUCCUGGUCUUGAGUUCGAGAGAGGUGAGUGGAAUUCCGAGUGUAGAGGUGAAAUUCGUAGAUAUUCGGAGGAACACCAGUGGCGAAGGCGGCUCACUGGCUCGAUACUGACGCUGAGGUGCGAAAGCGUGGGGAGCAAACAGGAUUAGAUACCCUUGUAGUC